AUACGGAGGGUACGAGCGUUGUUCGGAAUUACUGGGCGUAAAGCGCGUGUAGGCGGCCGUAAAAGUCGGGUGUGAAAUCCCGGGGCUCAACCCCGGAACUGCACCCGAAACUAUAUGGCUAGAGUCCCGGAGGGGGUGGCGGAAUUUCCGGUGUAGAGGUGAAAUUCGUAGAUAUCGGAAGGAACACCAGUGGCGAAGGCGGCCACCUGGACGGUGACUGACGCUGAGAUGCGAAAGCGUGGGGAGCAAACAGGAUUAGAAACCCCAGUAGUCC
rnacentral:rRNA from 1 species